rnacentral:lncRNA from 1 species
AUUAAUUUUCUUUAACACUUAUAUUUAUUAAUUAUAUUAUAUAAAUAUAUGGGUUCGAAGUUUAAAGCUGCAAUGGAAUCACCUAAUAGAGAAAGUGUGUGCGUAGGAUAAGAGCAGGCACGCUCUUCCCAGUAUCAAGCAACUUACAUAGUCAUUUUUGUGUAACAUAAAGAGAGAAAUGGAUUGAAUUUUUAUAAGUUUUUUUUUUCACGUUUUUGGGGUUUUGUUUAUUUUUGAUGAUCGAGCGAGGGAUGGAAUCAAAGUGAUGAUGAGGAUAGUGGGGUUUCAUUGAAAGGUCUAUAUCUUUUGAGGGAGAGAGAGAGAAGCUACUCAAAUGCUUUGGUCGGCGUGCUUUGAUGCUGCUAACUGAAGGGGAGGUGUUUUUUUCGGUUAUAUAAAAAAAGCCCCACAUAAGAAAAGAUCUUUCUUUCCAGUGUUGUCCCCUUUUCUUUGCAGGUUUUUGUUCCUUGAUUUUGGACUGUGCUGCUGCUGUUUGGGGGUGGGGUUGGGGAGGUGCGAGGGGAGAGGGUGUAAAAGGUCCUCCUUUCUGACCAAUUGGGAUUGGUUUGUUUUGUCAUUUGUGUUUUGAGACCCCUUUUUUUUCUUUGAUAAUUGCUCCAUCUCUAGAAGAUACUAUACGUGAUUCUACUUAGUGGGGACGAAAGCUCAGUGGAGCAAUAGGAAUGGAAAUUUGUUUCUUCUCUUUUUGGAAGUUGAUGGGUUUUGGGUUUUUCUAUUGACGAUGUAAAGGUGGGGACUUUGCUUUGUGUUCUUCUGGUUGCUUGUAUUGUAAAAGAGCGUAAAAAGGAAGAAUUCUUUUAAUAAGAAAAGAUCGCAUAAUGGGUUCUGUUGUUGAAGAGAAGAUUAAAACAGGAGCUUUGGUUAAUGGAGGGGCACAGGCCACUCUGCUUGAGGAAAUGAAGUUGUUGAAAGAAAUGCAAGAUCAGUCUGGU